rnacentral:piRNA from 1 species
CACCAAUGGGCCAAACCUGAAUAAAAUCUGGU